CGCGUAGGCGGCCGAUCAAGUCGGAGGUGAAAUCCCUCGUCUCAACUGAGGAAUUGCCUUCGAUACUGUUCGGCUUGAGUCCUGGAGAGGGUAGCGGAAUUCCCGGUGUAGCGGUGAAAUGCGUAGAGACCGGGAAGAACACCAGUGGCGAAGGCGGCUACCUGGACAGGUACUGACGCUGAAGCGCGAAAGCUAGGGGAGCAAACA
rnacentral:rRNA from 1 species